CUUCGCGUGACAAGUUGACAUAAAUGGACAAAUUGAGCUUUUAAAUUUGUGCCCGAGAAUGGACCAGGAGCAGAACAUGGAACCAGAGGACCAGACUACCAGGAACAGCAGCAGAGGAAGUGAAAGAAGAAGAGGAGUCUGAUCUGUGGAUGGAGAACUAGCAGAACCAUGAGGAGCACUAGUGUCUGAAUCAUAGCACACGAGCAGUACCCAAAGAGCACCAUGAGUACCCCCCAAACACAGGACAAUAUCCGCCAUCGAAUAAAUACAAAUUGUUUUGCGAAUAAAAUUGAUUACUCCUGAAAGAGCAGGGGCAGAUGCAGGGAGCUCUGUGGAAGCUGUGCAGCAAUAUUUAUUGGAUUAACAUAAACUGAAAUGCCAGAAUUUAUUGCACUUGCAACCAACUUUAGUUUGAAUUUCA
rnacentral:lncRNA from 1 species